rnacentral:rRNA from 1 species
UACGGAGGGUGCAAGCGUUAUCCGGAUUCACUGGGUUUAAAGGGUGCGUAGGCGGGCAAUUAAGUCAGUGGUGAAAUACCUGAGCUUAACUUGGGAACUGCCAUUGAUACUAUUUGUCUUGAAUGUCGUGGAGGUUAGCGGAAUAUGUCAUGUAGCGGUGAAAUGCUUAGAUAUGACAUAGAACACCAAUUGCGAAGGCAGCUUACUACAUAGUGAUUGACACUGAGGCACGAAAGCGUGGGGAUCAAACAGG